AUUGAACGCUGGCGGCAUGCCUAACACAUGCAAGUCGAGCGGAUGAAGGGAGCUUGCUCCUGGAUUCAGCGGCGGACGGGUGAGUAAUGCCUAGGAAUCUGCCUGGUAGUGGGGGAUAACGUCCGGAAACGGGCGCUAAUACCGCAUACGUCCUGAGGGAGAAAGUGGGGGAUCUUCGGACCUCACGCUAUCAGAUGAGCCUAGGUCGGAUUAGCUAGUUGGUGGGGUAAAGGCCUACCAAGGCGACGAUCCGUAACUGGUCUGAGAGGAUGAUCAGUCACACUGGAACUGAGACACGGUCCAGACUCCUACGGGAGGCAGCAGUGGGGAAUAUUGGACAAUGGGCGAAAGCCUGAUCCAGCCAUGCCGCGUGUGUGAAGAAGGUCUUCGGAUUGUAAAGCGCUUUAAGUUGGGAGGAAGGGCAGUAAGUUAAUACCUUGCUGUUUUGACGGUACCAACAGAAUAAGCACCGGCUAACUUCGUG
rnacentral:rRNA from 1 species